ACUAGCCUCAGGGCGUAUUCACGGCUGCUCACUCUCCCUGAAAAGUUUUCUUCAGGUGGCUAGCAAGCACCCUUACAAUCUUCUGGUAUUUACUCAGAAGUUGUACUCUCAGUGGGGCUCUUUUCAUCUUGUCUAAAAUAUUCACAUUCAUUCUGUCUCCCUGCUUAGUCUUUUUCUUAGCAUUCACCACUUUCUUAUGUACUAUGUAUUUAUCAUAUUUAUAUAAUUUAUUUCUGUCUUUCUAGCCACAAUGUAAGCAUCAUGAAUUACAGAAUUUUUCCUUUAAGCCACAAAAAAAAUAAACCAUUGUAUUUCUGAUGUCUGGAAUGACAUCUGGCAUACGUUAAGUGCUCAAUCCUUAUGUGCAUAAUGAGUGAUACUCUGUGAAUGAUAGAAUAGUAUGUAUAUUCAAAUGAACUAAAGUCAUUUGUUUAUUCCUUGGAUGAGUACUGAUUUGUUGGUUUGUAUUUUUGGUGGCUUUCUAUCUUAUUAUUUAACAUUUUGAAUCCACAAAAUGACAAAUACUUCACUGAACUCACAAAGAUUCAGGUAUCAUCCUAAAACUGGCAACAAGAAGUGAAUGUGGAUUUAGAGAGAUAAGGGUUUAUUGUUGUUGUUGUUGUUGUUACAUUUAUUUAUACCUAUCUAAUUUACUUAUAUCUAUUCCCUUAACUUGGUCCUAAACCUUUCAAAUUAAGUGUGCUUUCUCAAGUACAAAGAGAAGGAAAGAAUAAAACAAGAGGCAAAAACCAAAGAUGCUUCAUUUACUUUAUUUAUUUAAAAAAAUUUUUAGUUGUAGUU
rnacentral:lncRNA from 1 species